rnacentral:rRNA from 1 species
UACAGAGGUCCCAAGCGUUGUUCGGAUUCACUGGGCGUAAAGGGUGCGUAGGUGGUGAUGUAAGUUUGAUGUGAAAUCUCCGGGCUUAACCCGGAAAUUGCAUUGAAUACUACAUGGCUUGAGGUUUGGAGGGGGGACUGGAAUUCUUGGUGUAGCAGUGAAAUGCGUAGAUAUCAAGAGGAACACCAGUGGCGAAGGCGAGUCCCUGGACAAAUCCUGACACUGAGGCACGAAAGCUAGGGGAUCAAACGGG